rnacentral:rRNA from 1 species
GUGAGUAAUGCUUGGAAAUCUGCCUGAUAGAGGGGGACAACCACGGGAAACUGUGGCUAAUACCGCAUAAUCUAUUCGUAGCAAAGUGGGGGACCUUCGGGCCUCACGCUAUCAGAUGAAUCCAAGUGGGAUUAGCUAGUUGGUGAGGUAAGAGCUCACCAAGGCGACGAUCUCUAGCUGGUUUGAGAGGAUGAUCAGCCACACUGGAACUGAGACACGGUCCAGACUCCUACGGGAGGCAGCAGUGGGGAAUAUUGCACAAUGGGCGCAAGCCUGAUGCAGCCAUGCCGCGUGUGUGAAGAAGGCCUUCGGGUUGUAAAGCACUUUCAGUCGCGAGGAAGGGCUAUUAGUUAAUAACUGAUAGCAUUGACGUUAACGACAGAAGAAGCACCGGCUAACUCCGUGCCAGCAGCCGCGGUAAUACGGAGGGUG